rnacentral:misc_RNA from 1 species
AGAAUAAAAAAUCGAAGCGUCGCUCUUUUUUUUAAGGGUGAUCGCGUCGGAAUUGAGCCGUCUUUCAAAUGUUAAUUCAUGUCAAAGUGGCUUAAAAUUCAUCCAUCCGGUACGAUUAAAGCGUAUUUAAGAUCAAUUUUGUUCAAGAACGCGCGAUGACGUACCAUCUCAUGUAGUACGUUUGACCUGGGUCAUCAGGUUCAUUCGUAUACGAUACUUAAAC